AGCAGCCGCGGUAAUUCCAGCUCCAAUAGCGUAUAUUAAAGUUGUUGCAGUUAAAAAGCUCGUAGUUGAAUUUCGGGGUUAGUAGGUUGGUCAUGCCUCUGGUAUGUACUGGUCUCACUGAUUCCUCCUUCCUGAUGAGCCUUAAUGCCAUUAAUUUGGUGUUUUUGGGGGAAUUUGGACUGUUACUUUUGAAAAAUUAGAGUGUUUAAAGCAAGCUAACGCUUGAAUACAUUAGCAUGGAA
rnacentral:rRNA from 1 species